rnacentral:rRNA from 1 species
GUGUCAGCCGCCGCGGUAAUACGUAGGUGGCAAGCGUUGUCCGGAAUUACUGGGCGUAAAGCGUGCGUAGGCGGUUUUUUAAGUCUGAUGUGAAAUCCCACGGCUUAACCUGGGAGGGUCAUUGGAAACUGGGAGUCUUGAGUGCAGAAGAGGAAAGCGGAAUUCCUAGUGUAGCGGUGAAAUGCGUAGAGAUUUGGAGGAACACCAGUGGCGAAGGCGUCUUUCUGGACUGCAACUGACGCUGAGGCAGGAAAGCGUGGGGAGCAA